UAGCCAAGGUCAAGCAGGCUGUAACUAAGGGAACAUUUGAACCCAAGUUCUCUGACUUCAGAGCCUAUGCUCUUCCAUUCUACUAGCUCCCUCUGUUGCUAUCCAAGUCAUGAAUCCAGGCAACAUAACAUUCUUUGGUUGAUCAUACCAAACAUCCAAGACAGGGUCAGAGUCAACCUAGGCCAGAUCACAGUAGACCCAGACUCUUAGUGAGAGAGAGCAGGACCUCCAACAACAAGUGGAUGAGUGGAAGAGAGGGACCAAAUGAGGCAUAACAGUCUGUUGACUUUUGGGAAAUCCAACACACUGAUGACAGCAGCCACAUGAAUAGACUUGAGACACAAACAUCUAAAUUCCCAUGUUGGUCUCAACUUAAUCUUGGAAGAUGGGAAAAAAGGCAACCUAGGAACCAGGAUCAGGAAAGGAAAAUGGAUUUACUUGUCACUUCUUGCAUUGCAAAAAUAUUCCAUUCCAUUCAUAUGCCACAAUUUAUUCCACCAUCCCCUAUGCCUGAGAAUUUUAUUUCUUUGCUAUUACAAAU
rnacentral:lncRNA from 1 species